GCGGGAAUAGCUCAGUUGGUUAGAGCAUCAGCCUUCCAAGCUGAGGGUCGCGGGUUCGAAUCCCGUUUCCCGCUCCA
rnacentral:tRNA from 1 species